GAUGAACGCUAGCGGCAGGCCUAACACAUGCAAGUCGAGGGGCAGCGAGGGUAGCAAUGCCUGUCGGCGACCGGCGCACGGGUGAGUAACGCGUAUGCAACCUGCCCCCGUCUGGGGAAUAGCCCGUCGAAAGGCGGAUUAACGCCCCAUAGUUCUCCUUGCCGGCAUCGGCGAGGAGGUAAAGGUUACGGACGGGGAUGGGCAUGCGUGCCAUUAGCUUGUUGGCGGGGUAACGCCCACCAAGGCUACGAUGGCUAGGGGAGCUGAGAGGCUGAACCCCCCANACUGGUACUGAGACACGGACCAGACUCCUACGGGAGGCAGCAGUGAGGAAUAUUGGUCAAUGGGCGAGAGCCUGAACCAGCCAUGCCGCGUGCAGGAGACGGCCCUACGGGUUGUAAACUGCUUUUCUGCGGGAAGACGGCCCCGAGCGAUCGGGGUNUAGCGGUACCGCAGGAAUAAGGAUCGGCUAACUCCGUGCCAGC
rnacentral:rRNA from 1 species